rnacentral:lncRNA from 1 species
GAUUUAAAUGGAGCUAAACAAAAUGAAAAUCCAAUUCUCAUUUAAAGAGACAAAACAAUUUUGUUCUCAAUCUAAUUUGGGCCAUCAUGCAAUAACCACAACUUAUUUGGGUCAUAAAGCAAUUAACCUCAACUUUUGGGCUAUAUUGCAAAACUUUUGGGGUCACUUUGUAAAGACACAAAAGUCCACUACUUCAUGUAAUUACACUAGAACCCAAAAUUUAAUCAAUGCAAAAACUUCAUUAAAGGAGCAAAACAAUUUGUCCUUUAGCGUUUUGGACCUAAACGUAAAAACGUAAACUUUUGGGCCAAAGUGCAAAUACACAAAAGUAUCAAAACUUUAUGUAAUUGCAUAAAAGACCCAAAAGAACCCUAAUAAUAGGGUGGCCGGUUUUGGAGUGUUAGUCCACAAAAAUUUUGAAAAUUUUUCAACAAAUUCAUAAAGCCUUGCAAGUGGUUUGUGACAUAAAAACAUGCAAGUGGUAUGUGACUUAAAGUCAUGCAAGUGAUGUGUGUGUAAGAGAAGUACUUCUUACACACCUAUCACCAUUUCCAUCACCUUACACAAUUUCUAUCACAUUAAAACAUUUGAUAAAGCACAAAACAAAGACUUUAUGAAAUUAAUCAAAACUUUGAAUCAAAACACCAAACUUUUUGUUCUUGGCAAAAAUGUCAAGAACAAUGAAGAACAUUCAUGAAAAACCCAAAAAUUUUCCAUGAACAUUUUUCACCCAAAAACAUUCCAAAACCAUUCAAACUUAAGGGAAAUAACAUCUAACCAAACUAGGGUACAUAAGGGUUCCAAAAGUCACUUGAAAACACUUUUAACAAGUCAAACAAGAACCCAAAAAUCCACCCUUUGGAUUU